rnacentral:lncRNA from 1 species
UCGCAGUGUAGAUAGAAAAUAACGUGCCCCAUUUCUUCCAGAAGGGUGGCGCAGGGACUGCACCAUCGAGUCAUUUUUGUCCCCACACAAUAUAGAGCUGGAGGAUGAUAUCCUCCAGGAACACUGUGGAAGAGGAGUCAGAAAGAAUAUAAGAUGACCAGAAGUGUCCUGUAGCUCUGUCCUCCUAAUGGAAACAUUCUUUCCUAGAGUCUAGAGAGAGGCUCUUAAGUUGAGAAGCUUACAAAAUUAUGUGACUCAAAAGCUCAGAAAGUUACAAGGCUCUCAAGGUCAUAUAAGCAAUAAACAAUUGUCAGAAGAGAGGAUCCUCCAUAGAACCAGCCUGCAAGUUGGACAAAGAAUUCUAGGGAUAUAAAUUUUAGUGAAUUAUCACCC